AGGGGAGAAACCUGUAAAUGUAAGGGUGGACUCCACUGGAACGAAUUUUGUGAAAAUAGUAACACAUGGCUACAUCCUUAGUUGUCACAGAGGAAAACUGCAGAGAGAACUGAUUCUUCAUCGUGUCCCUAGAGAUGCUGAUUUGCCUCUUCAGGGACGGAUUUAUAAGCUGUGUUUCUACCACUAUUAACCCAUCCCAUCCAGUGCAGCUCCUUCCUUUUGAGGCUGGUGGAUACAGUUCCAGGAGUAACCAGUGGUGACGGAUAAACCAGAGAUAGAGCAGGUAGUAUCAAGAACCCUUAAGUACUGAAGACUUUUUGGAGAUGUCUUCCAUCCGUAGCUGGCUCUUGGAUUUUAAGUAUGUGGCAAAAUCCUACCUCUUCCAUUUACCGGAAAUGAGAAAUUUAUGCAUAGUUUGCCUAGCACCUACUUCUUCUGCACUCACCUACAGUAUUUCUUAUAAUCCCAGGCACACUCAGUUUGGGCACAGAAAAACAACUGAUUAGAACAAUUAAAGUACAACAAUGAGUAAGAAGAAUAUCAGACAUAUCCUAGAAAGUGACAAUAGUAAUAACUAUUUGUCACCUGUAACCAUAUGAACAAGAUUUGUAGCUCUAUAACAAAAUCUAAAAUCUGCCCGAAAAAUAUGUUCAGUAAUAUUGCCUCAAUAUGGUCAUAUUACCCUCAAAGGAUAAAUUUUAAGUGCAGCUAAGUGAGAAUACAGAAAUUCAAGAUGAGACAGGUUUAGAAGCAAGACUGGAAGACAAAAGAUUACAAUAAUAAAUACAAAAAUAAUGACAUAACCUCCAUCAGGGCAUAGAAUUAAGGCAUUUGCUUCAUGAUAUCCAAUAACAAUAAUUCUCCCUAAAAAAACCAACUAUUGACAAGAUUUCUUUGUCACUGUUGUUACUGAUAAAAUCACACCAUUAUUUGUACAUUUUCAAGAUUACUUGAUGUAGUUAACUAAGUGUGUCAACAUCAGAAAUGCUGACCAAAAUUGAAAAGGCAUACUUCUAUGUGUAGAACCCACGAUAAGGGAGACUGUUACCAGAAAGAAAUAAAAGAGAAACAAAAAGAAAACAUUCUUUCUCUUCACCAGAACUCCAGUUUUCACUUUCCCAAUGGACAUUAUCUCUUGGCUUCCACUGCAGACUCUUAAUACUAUAGCACAGAUCAUUCAUUCAUCUGGCAAACACAAUUGAUCCUCCUGAUAAGAUCUUGGACAAAACACAGUGUGCUCUGACAUUUCACAAGAAGAUGCCAAUCUCCAGCUGAUGGACAGAGUUUUUGCACUCUUCCACAUCUGUAUGAGAGACUACUGUAUGCCAGUCUUUGAAAUAUAUUUGUAUGCCUUCUAUUAAAGCUGUUUCUCUAUAAUACUGACUGAUACAGAUUUUACUAUUGAGAGUGACUCUAGAGAAGGACCAUUGCAAAAAUCUAGUUCCUUAACUGACUUAGGGAUUCCUGGUGUUGGUUCUCUAAUUUGAUGAGAUCUAAAGACAGCAGUCUGUCUUUCUAGUACUGUGGGGAAUAGUCAUAGUCCUGGCUGUAAAAUGUUUAAAACAAUACGGUAGAUCUAUUUGGCUGUUACAUAUCUAGACUCUCAGGGGAUUAUUUUGCCAUGGAAAGAAAUUUCUCUAUUGAUCAGCUCACUAUUCUUUAGUCUACCAAGUCAUACCUUGGUAUUGCACAGUAACAAUCUAUCAUUAAAAGGAAACUGAUUACAUAAUGGAGACACAGUAGGUCUAAAAGGUACAUGUAAGUUACAAUAAAGAUGUUCCUC